rnacentral:rRNA from 1 species
CCCUUAGACGUUCUGGGCCGCACGCGCGCUACACUGACCAGUGCAACAAGCAUCCGUCCUUGGCCGACAGGCCCGGGCAAUCUUUGAACGCUGGUCGUGAUGGGGAUAGACUUUUGCAAUUUUUGGUCUUCAACGAGGAAUUCCUAGUAAACGCAAGUCAUCAACUUGCAUUGAUUACGUCCCUGCCCUUUGUACACACCGCCCGUCACCUACCGAUUGAAUGGUCCGGUGAAGCCUCCGGAUUGGCGCGCACCUCGGUGCCGCCGAGAAGUUGGCUAAACCUUACCAUUUAGAGGAAGGUGAAGUCGUAACA